UCGUGAUUGGCAGACAGCUUGUCCAGGAUCUCUCGGUCCACGUUCAGGAUGCGCUGCUCCAGGAUGCUGGCGAAAGACUGAGCGCUCUCCUUCUUUUCGCGCUCCAACGCCUGCAGCUGCUGCUUCAAGGAUUCGGGCAGAAAGUUGUGUUAGCCAGUGAUUUCCCGUGAAGACUCUGCAUCCAGCGAUGCUGCUCGUGUGAGCAUGAGGGAAAAUGACGCAUUCAGGUGCCGGCCGGCCCACCCGCGCUCCCUACCUACCUCUCCGCCGUGGCCGUCAAAGAUGCCGAAGAUGGACGGGUGGCUCUUGUUCGCGAUGUCGGUGAGCACCUCGUAGCGAUCCUCCAUGUGAUCCCUUCUGCCUUGUAUUGAGUACACGGCCACGUUGUCGCUCUUGAACUCCCAGGUCUUGGAGAACUCUGCGUCCAGCACGUUGAGGCCUCCUAGCCGCUCGUUGUGCAUCAUCUCGGCCACUUUGCCCUUCACCAUCUUCACGGCGUCGCGGCUUGACUUGACAAUAGUCUUCACUUCG